UACGAAGGGGGCUAGCGUUGUUCGGAAUUACUGGGCGUAAAGGGCGCGUAGGCGGCCUGCUAAGUCACACGUGAAAUCCCUCGGCUCAACCGGGGAACUGCGUGUGAUACUGGCGGGCUUGAAUUCGGGAGAGGGAUGUGGAAUUCCAGGUGUAGCGGUGAAAUGCGUAGAUAUCUGGAGGAACACCGGUGGCGAAGGCGGCAUCCUGGACCGAGAUUGACGCUGAGGCGCGAAAGCUAGGGGAGCAAACGGG
rnacentral:rRNA from 1 species